rnacentral:rRNA from 2 species
AGACCCGAAACCCGGUGAUCUAGCCAUGGGCAGGUUGAAGGUUGGGUAACACUAACUGGAGGACCGAACCGACUAAUGUUGAAAAAUUAGCGGAUGACCUGUGGCUGGGGGUGAAAGGCCAAUCAAACCGGGAGAUAGCUGGUUCUCCCCGAAAGCUAUUUAGGUAGCGCCUCGUGAAUUCAUCUCCGGGGGUAGAGCACUGUUUCGGCUAGGGGGCCAUCCCGGCUUACCAACCCGAUGCAAACUGCGAAUACCGGAGAAUGUUAUCACGGGAGACACACGGCGGGUGCUAACGUCCGUCGUGAAGAGGGAAACAACCCAGACCGCCAGCUAAGGUCCCAAAGUCAUGGUUAAGUGGGAAACGAUGUGGGAAGGCCCAGACAGCCAGGAUGUUGGCUUAGAAGCAGCCAUCAUUUAAAGAAAGCGUAAUAGCUCACUGGUCGAGUCGGCCUGCGCGGAAGAUGUAACGGGGCUAAACCAUGCACCGAAGCUGCGGCAGCGAACGUAUCACCCAAGACAACUUUACGGAGUUGACGAUUGACGGAGCGAAGCGACGUCAAAGCGUUCAUUAAAGUCGAGUUGGCUUAGGGAUACGUUCGUUGGGUAGGGGAGCGUUCUGUAAGCCUGUGAAGGUGUGUCGUGAGGCAUGCUGGAGGUAUCAGAAGUGCGAAUGCUGACAUAAGUAACGAUAAAGCGGGUGAAAAGCCCGCUCGCCGGAAGACCAAGGGUUCCUGUCCAACGUUAAUCGGGGCAGGGUGAGUCGACCCCUAAGGCGAGGCCGAAAGGCGUAGUCGAUGGGAAACGGGUUAAUAUUCCCGUACUUGGUGUUACUGCGAAGGGGGGACGGAGAAGGCUAUGUUGGCCGGGCGACGGUUGUCCCGGUUUAAGCGUGUAGGUGUGUGUUCCAGGUAAAUCCGGUUCACUUUAACACUGAGGCGUGACGACGAGGCACUACGGUGCUGAAGCAACAAAUGCCCUGCUUCCAGGAAAAGCCUCUAAGCAUCAGGUAACACGAAAUCGUACCCCAAACCGACACAGGUGGUCAGGUAGAGAAUACCAAGGCGCUU